UUCAAAAACGUUGCUGUGGAAAUUCUAAAAUGUCUUGACAACAUGGUCGGUCUAACUGUACUUUCCCUCAUUGAUUACAAUACUUAUUGCAUGGCUGUGAUAUAUGUGUAUGUAGUCUACGGAGAGAAUCAUACUUGGAUUUAUUGAACACAUUUUAUUUUUUUCUAAACUCAAACAUUCAGUGUUCUAUUGUCUUGUCGCUCGGAAUCAUCAUGUUUCCAUGGUAAUCUGACUGGCAAAACUGAUGUCAAAGCUUCAGGGAGAGGCGAGUAGUAGACUUGCACAAAGCUUUCAGCGCACGGUCAGCGUCUCAGCUGAGUAGUGUCAUUCGAACGCGGUAUGCAAAACUCCACUGAAUCUUGAGGAGGGUGAAUGAGAGAACUCAUUAUUGAGCGUAUUAGAGCCCAAAUGAUCUGUCAGUCGGCUGUCGCCUGCACUGUCGGCUGCAAUGUCGAACAAGCCCAAUGAGAAGGACAUGACGCGGCGAUUCAAUUGUCAUAAGUGGAGAUACUGACUGCAAUGUAAGGCCAAAUCAUUCAGGGGAUCUACUAUGCUGAGGACACCCCUAGUUGACUGAUUGCGGAAGUUGCAUACUUUUGACAUUAUGCACAACUAUUUGGAGACUAAUUUGGAACCCAAAUGGUCAUCAUUCUGCUUUUCUUCUCUGCUUUUCCAAGACACAUUAGCUGGACUGAAAUAUACUUUUACUGUAUUGAAGAUCUUGUUAAAUAUAUGUUCUCUUGUGAAUAUUGUUGGAGAUGUUUAUUUAGUGAACUUAUAAGAUAAAGUUAAACCUUGAUGUGUUUUUGCCUUACUUUGCAAGCCAUAUUGGUUUGUGUAAGGAUCCAGAAAUAUUAUGCAUGAUAUGAUUUAUCACUAGUGCAUUUCAUCACUAGUGUGUAUGUCUGUCUUUUCGUCUUGCAUUCAUUUUGCAACUUGCCAUAUUUCCAUUGUGAAGAUGUGUGGUAACAAAAGCACAGUAAAGACGACCAUCUCCUAUUCACACUUCCCUGUCUGGCCAUGGUUCUGCAAAAUAGUUUGUCCACAGUUUCAUAGUUGUGGUGUUACACAAACACACACACACACAUUCCCCAAGUUGGACAAAUAGCUUAUGGCACUUUGCUUAUUUCACUUAUCUGAGAGAUAGGAAUGGUGACAAAUGAUGGGUGAAGACUUUCUCCUCUCAGGUGACAGGUCAGGGGCAAAGAGCCUUUCAGGGUCAGUGAUAGAAGUGAUAGCCAUUCUCUCUCUCCCUGCACAUUCCUUUCUUAACAGCUCCCCUUGGAAGAAUUCUGCUGAAAUAUCCUCUGUGUACAACGUAGAACACC